rnacentral:misc_RNA from 1 species
UUUAGCCAAUCCAAGCUCAUUUGAAAAAGAUGGCGGACAGCGGUAAUGCCGAGCGCGCUGAGGACCCUUUCAAAAGUCUUCUCGGCGAAAUUACCGAAGACCAGUGGGAGACAUAUAAAGCGCUAAAAAAACACCAAGGCAACUUGGUGAUUGACAGCUCGUCGGAGGACUCGAGCGACGAAGGCGAUGACACGGAAGACAAGCGUCUCCACGUGGGCUCUGUUGCAUCCACAGAAACUCCGACUGCAGACAACAGCAGCGACGGAUCCGAGGAUGCGGACGCUUUGCAGUCGCAGUCUACACUUACCGACAAGUACCUCAACGGAGAGAUCAGCUUUGCAGAGUUUACAGAUCGCCUGGAUGACCUCAAAGUUCCGAAAACGGUACCCGGGUCAGAGAUUAGCACGCCGAAAGAGCAGACGGCGUCGGAGGAGAGCGACGAUCCCUUCAAGGAGCUCGCUCCCACCACUAGCAGACGGGGUCGCAGGAAAGGCAAGCGGCCGAUGCAGCGCCCGAGCCGCCUGCCAAAAGACCUGCAGGGGCUGAUGGGUGAAGCAAACCUGUGCUUUGCACGCGGAGACCAUGAGGAUGCCAUCAAGAUGUGCAUGGAAGUCAUUCGCCUUGUGCCCCGUGCCCCGGAGCCCUUCCAGACGCUGGGCAUGCUAUACGAGGAGAUGGGCGACCCGGCCAAAGCCCUGCAAUUCUCCCUGAUCGGGGCCCACCUGAGCCCGGACGACGCGGACGAAUGGGCGCGCCUCGGAGAGCUAAGCCUGGAGCAGGGUGACGUGCGCCAGGCGACGACCUGCUACGCCCGGGCGGUGCGGGCGGACCCCUCGAACCUGGACCUGCGCCUCGAGCUGUGCACCCUCUACGAGCAGGCUGGGGAGCAGAGAAAGGCCCUCGACUGCUGCUCCUCUCUCGUGCAGCAGAUGGGGCCCUCUCAGGGGGCACAGUGCCUGCAGCUGUCCAGAGAGCUUGCCAAGGUUCAUCAUCAGAGGGGCAACGUGGCGGCAGCCAUCAACGUGCUCCAGAGCGCACUCACCAAGUGUCCCUCCGACAUUGCUUCCGAAGACGUGAACAUGUUGUUGGAGCUCCAACUCGGCGAGAAGCUUUACGUCGACGCCUUGAUGGUGCUGCACACCCACUGUGGCGUCCGCCUGCUUCCUUUGGAAGCGGACAAAGAGUUUUCCUCCGCCAUUUCUUUGGAGACGGGAGGUGUGAAACGCUUUGAAAGCUGCGAGGUGCCCAACGUGCUUCCGGUCGACCUGCGAGUCAAGCUCGUGCUCAGCCUCAUUCACCUCGACGGUCAGCAUCUGGUGCUGGGCCUUGUGGAGCAGCUGAGUACCGAAGAUCCUGAAGAGGUGGGGGACCUGAUGCUGGACGUGGCCGAAGCGUUCCUGGAGAAAGCAUCUCCUGGUCGAGCCCUGCCCCUGCUCGCUCAGCUCGUGGAGAGCAAGAACUACAGCCUGGCCGCCGUGUGGCUGCGCUACGCCGAGUGCCUCCAGCAGCUGGGACGCUUCGAGGAGGCGACGUCGGUGUACCGGCGCGUCUGCCGCAUGGCCCCGGGGCACGCCCAGGCACGCCUCGCCCUCUGCUCGCUCCUCCUGAGGCAGGGACGCACCGACGAAGCCAUCGCCUGCCUCGAGCCAGGCUACAACAAUGAAGAUUCUGCCACCGCUAACAGUGAUGUCACCGCAGUGGGCAACACUCCACAAGAGGCGGCUGGGGUGCUUCUGCGUCGUGCACAGCUACUGCUAGAGGCCAAGCGUAAUGAUGCCUUUGUGGAUGCUGCCAUGUUGCUGCUUUGCAGUCACUGUCCUCAAGUGGAGACCGACAAUGAGUAUGCCGCGGUGUACUCCAACUUUUCGUAUCGAGGCCGCAUGGAGGUGUUGCGUGACCUGCUCCAGAAGAGAGGUGUCGUACCUAACAAUUGGCUGACAUCGGAUAGCGGCAUAUGCAUCGACGACCUUUGGACCUGUUUUCUCGACCUUUUCCGUGUGCUGCGCGAAUUGGGCCGCACGAAAGAGCUGCAGCAGGCCGUCACUCAAGCGCUGGUGUCGCCGCUGUUGAACAAGGAAUUAUCCAGAACGAAGGAGAUGGAGUUCUUAAGCCUUGUGGCUCACUACAACGACCCCGACGUGGAAGAGCACACAUACUCCCUGUCAAGGGCGCUGGUGCUUAAAAAUCCAAAGAACAUCCGUGCCUGGAACUUGUUUGGGCUGGCGGUCAAUGUGAGCCCCGUGAUGCGGCACAACCGGUUCUGCCUCCGGCUACUUUACAAAGACGCUCCGUGUGAAUGGCGAGCUGAUGGACACGCAGCACCAUGGGGUGAGCGGUCUUGAAAACUGACGAGCGCAGCGGCCAAUGGGAGCCCUGUCAACGCGCGCCAGCCAAUGGAAUGGAAGGCGAAAUCGCAGAAACUAGUACCCGGACAGCAUACCUCUUGGGCUUCUGAACGGUCACAACGCCCUGGUGUCGGGAACAUACAAGCAUGCCAUCGGUGAG